UACGGAGGGUGCGAGCGUUAAUCGGAAUUACUGGGCGUAAAGCGCGCGUAGGCGGCUUGUUAAGCAGAAUGUGAAAGCCCCGGGCUUAACCUGGGAACUGCAUCCUGAACUGGCAGGCUAGAGUAUAGUAGAGGAUAGUGGAAUUUCUGGUGUAGCGGUGAAAUGCGUAGAUAUCAGAAGGAACAUCAGUGGCGAAGGCGACUGUCUGGACUAAUACUGACGCUGAGGUGCGAAAGCGUGGGGAGCAAACAGG
rnacentral:misc_RNA from 1 species